AACGAACGCUGGCGGCAGGCUUAACACAUGCAAGUCGAACGCCCCUUCGGGGGAGUGGCAGACGGGUGCGUAACGCGUGGGAAUCUACCCAGUUCUGCGGAACAACAGUUGGAAACGACUGCUAAUACCGCAUACGCCCUACGGGGGAAAGAUUUAUCGGAAUUGGAUGAGCCCGCGUAAGAUUAGCUAGUUGGUGAGGUAAUGGCUCACCCAGGCGACGAUCUUUAGCUGGUCUGAGAGGAUGAUCAGCCACACUGGGACUGAGACACGGACCAGACUCCUACGGGAGGCAGCAGUGGGGAAUAUUGGACAAUGGGCGCAAGCCUGAUCCAGCCAUGCCGCGUGAGUGAUGAAGGCCUUAGGGUUGUAAAGCUCUUUCAGUAGGGAGGAUAAUGACGGUACCUACAGAAGAAGCCCCGGCUAACUUCGUGCCAGCCGCCGCCGUAAGAC
rnacentral:rRNA from 1 species